AACCCAUGAUGCGGGCAAAGUCUCAUCGUGUCUUUAUAUCUUUCCUAGGCUUCAAAAAGGGAUUCUCCAUCAUCUUGUCUUAAAAAAGUUAUUUGGUUUCUGAAUAC